GGUAUAUCUCAGGUUGGAAGCAAUGCCUACUGGAUUUGCGAGGCUUGUGUGCUUAUAGAAAUGCACCUUCCAUCUGCUGCUUCUGGUUCUCGACUGAUAAGGACUUACAGCUUGUCCCAGUCUAGGUGCAGCCAUGAAGAAUCCACAAUCCCAAGCUGCAGGUGACAAUGAAAUUGACCAAAGACCCCCCACAUCCGUUAAG